GAUGAACGCUGGCGGCGUGCUUAACACAUGCAAGUCGAACGGAAAGGCCCAAGCUUGCUUGGGUACUCGAGUGGCGAACGGGUGAGUAACACGUGGGUGAUCUGCCCUGCACUUCGGGAUAAGCCUGGGAAACUGGGUCUAAUACCGGAUAGGACCACAUUUUGGAUGGUGUGGUGGAAAGUUUUUCGGUGUGGGAUGAGCUCGCGGCCUAUCAGCUUGUUGGUGGGGUAAUGGCCUACCAAGGCGUCGACGGGUAGCCGGCCUGAGAGGGUGUACGGCCACAUUGAGUCUGAGAUUCGUCCCAGACUCCUACGCGGGGCAGAGGUGGGGAGUAUUGCUCAAUGGCCGCAAGCCUGAUGCAGCGACGCCGCGUGGGGGAUGACGGCCUUCGGGUUGUAAUCUCCUUUCGCUAGGGACGAAGCGUUAUGUGACGGUACCUGGAGAAGAAGCACCGGCUAACUACGUG
rnacentral:rRNA from 1 species